AGGCUAACGCCAGCAAGCCGCCGUCCAGGCUAAUUUGUAAUCAGGGGGUCGCGGGUUCGAACCCUGCCGGGGGCACCA
rnacentral:tRNA from 1 species